UACGGUAGGAUGCAAGCGUUGUCCGGAAUUAUUGGGCGUAAAGAGCGCGCAGGCGGUAACUCAAGUCAGAUGUGAAAUAUCCGGGCUUAACCCGGAGGGGUCAUUUGAAACUGAGUAACUAGAGUACAGCAGAGGAUAGCGGAAUUCCCGGUGUAGUGGUGAAAUGCGUAGAUAGUCGGGAGGAACACCAGUGGCGAAGGCGGCUAAUCUGGGCUGAAACUGACGCUGAGGCGCGAAGGCUA
rnacentral:rRNA from 1 species